AUUGAACGCUGGCGGCAUGCCUUACACGUGCAAGUCGAACGGUAACAGGUCUUCGGAUGCUGACGAGUGGCGAACGGGUGAGUAAUGCAUCGGAACGUGCCCAGUUGUGGGGGAUAACUGCUUGAAAGAGCAGCUAAUACCGCAUACGACCUGAGGGUGAAAGCGGGGGAUCGCAAGACCUCGCGCAAUUGGAGCGGCCGAUGUCAGAUUAGGUAGUUGGUGGGGUAAAGGCCUACCAAGCCGACGAUCUGUAGUUGGUCUGAGAGGACGACCAGCCACACUGGGACUGAGACACGGCCCAGACUCCUACGGGAGGCAGCAGUGGGGAAUUUUGGACAAUGGGCGCAAGCCUGAUCCAGCAAUGCCGCGUGCAGGAAGAAGGCCUUCGGGUUGUAAACUGCUUUUGUCAGGGAAGAAAUCCUCUGGGUUAAUACCCCGGGGGGAUGACGGUACCUGAAGAAUAAGCACCGGCUAACUACGUGCCAGCAGCCGCAGUAACAC
rnacentral:rRNA from 1 species